AGGACGAACGCUGGCGGCGCGCUUAACACAUGCAAGUCGAGCGAGAACCAGUCCUUCGGGACUGGGGACAGCGGCGAACGGGUGAGUAACACGUGGGUAAUCUGCCCUCGAUUCUGGGAUAGCCCGGGGAAACCCGGAUUAAUACCGGAUAGCCUUUCGGGCUUUCGAGCUCGUUAGAAAAGGUAGCUUCGGCCUCCGAUCGAGGAUGAGCCCGCGGCGGAUUAGCUUGUUGGUGGGGUAAUGGCCUACCAAGGCGACGAUCCGUAGCUGGUCUGAGAGGACGAUCAGCCACACUGGGACUGAGACACGGCCCAGACUCCGUACGGGAGGCAGCAGGUGGGGAAUCUUGCGCAAGUGGGG
rnacentral:rRNA from 1 species